AGAAAGAUGGCUGAGUGGUUUAUAGCGAUAAAUUGCUAAUUUAUUUAACAAAAAAUCAUUAAUUGUUACAAGGGUUCAAAUCCCUUUCUUUCUA
rnacentral:tRNA from 1 species